rnacentral:rRNA from 1 species
CCUACGGGUGGCUGCAGUGGGGAAUAUUGGGCAAUGGGCGCAAGCCUGACCCAGCAACGCCGCGUGAAGGAAGAAGGCUCUCGGGUUGUAAACUUCUUUUAUUAGGGACGAAGCAAGUGACGGUACCGGAUGAAUAAGCCACGGCUAACUACGUGACAGCAGCCGCGGUAAUACGGAGGUGGCAAGCGUUAUCCGGAUUUACUGGGUGUAAAGGGCGUGUAGGCGGGAAAGCAAGCCAGAUGUGAAAACCAUGGGCUCAACCUGUGACCUGCAUUUGAAACUGUUAUUCUUGAGUACGGGAGAGGCAGACGGAAUUCCUAGUGUAGCGGUGAAAUGCGUAGAUAUUAGGAGGAACACCAGUGGCGAAGGCGGUCUGCUGGACAGCAACUGACGCUGAGGCGCGAAAGCGUGGGGAGCAAACAGGAUUAGAUACCCGGGUAGUC